rnacentral:rRNA from 1 species
CGUAACAAGGUCUCCGUAGGUGAACCUGCGGAGGGAUCAUUACCGAGCGAGGGCCUCCGGCGUAACAAGGUCUCCGUAGGUGAACCUGCGGAGGGAUCAUUA